GUGCAUGAAAAACAAAAAAACAAAAAUAAAAUAAUAAUAAAGGCGUUACAAGCGAAAAGAUUACAGUUUAAACAAUUUUAUUGUGCAAUAUUUUAACGUUCCAACGAACUAGCUAAGUGUGAUUUAUUUUGUACUUAUCAACUUAUCGCGUAUUUAAAAUUAAGUGCGCCACAAACUGUUCUUGGGCAGACAGAAAACAUAGUUCCUCGUCAAAAUGAACAAAUCGUACACCCCCCUGCUGCUCCUUUUGAGUUGUUUCGCGAUUGUCUCGCAGGCGAGAAAUGUGAUCGAAUAUGCUGCUGAUAGCGAGAACACGAUAGAGAAGGAUGUUACAGCCUACGACUUUCCCGCCUGCCAAAUCUACUGCUAUGGACCUCUUCUCCAUACCGUGCAAAUGGCAAACAUAUUUCGUGAUUCAAAGACUUUUGUUGACAUGAAAUUGAAAAAAGCACCAGAGAAGACUAUUGAGGAAUUUGAUGCGUUUAUGGAAUCGAAAAACAACACACCAUCCGAUGAUGACGUAUUGCAGUUUGUCAAUGAUCACUUUGAUGAGAAGGGCACGGAAUUGGAAGUCUGGACCCCAACUGAUUGGAAGGAAAAUCCCAGUUUUCUCGAUAACGUCCAUGACCCCGACCUGAAGCAAUGGGGUGCUGACUUAAAUGCCAUAUGGAAAGACUUGGGACGCAAAAUGAAAGAGGAUGUGAGCAAAAAUCCGGACUACUACUCCAUUAUUCCCGUACCCAACCCCGUGAUAAUUCCUGGCGGCCGCUUCAUUGAGUUUUACUAUUGGGACUCGUACUGGAUCAUCCGUGGAUUGCUGCUCUCUGAAAUGCAGGACACCGCGCGUGGAAUGAUAGAAAACUUUCUGUCAAUUGUUCAGCGCAUUGGCUUCAUACCAAAUGGUGGUCGGGUCUACUACUGGGGACGCUCGCAGCCUCCUCUUCUGACCGCCAUGGUCAAGGCCUAUGUGGAUUUCACCAAAGACGACCUGUUCGCUAUUAAUGCGCUGGAUGUGCUAGAGCAUGAGUUUGAAUAUUUCAUUAACAAUCACACAGUACAAGCCAAGGGUCACAAUUUGGUAGCCUACCGCGAUUCAUCGACAGGUCCUCGUCCAGAAUCGUACCGCGAAGACGUGGAGUCAGCAAAGAUAUUUGAUACCGAGGAAGCCAAAGAAGCCUACUACAGUGAACUUAAGUCGGCAGCCGAGUCCGGAAUGGACUUCAGUUCACGUUGGUUUAUCAAUAGUGAUGGCACCAACACUGGAAAUCUUACUCAGACGAAAACACGCUCUAUUGUGCCGGUGGAGCUGAAUGCAAUAUUAUAUUGGAAUGCAAAAAUGAUUGCCGAGUUCCACUCGAAGGCCGAUAACGUAGAUAAAGUUCAGGAGUACGAAGCAAAAGCGCACAAAAUAUUAGAGGCCAUUCAAGCAGUCUUAUGGAAUGAGGAUGUGGGCGCAUGGUUGGAUUACGAUCUAAUCAAUAAUAAGCCGCGCAACAGCUUUGUGCCAACCAACUUGGCCCCAUUAUGGGUUAAGGCCUACAAUAUCUCCGAUUCGCAGAAAAUUUCAACUGCAGUAUUGAAAUACAUUGAGGAGAACGAUCUGGACACAUUCCCAGGAGGUGUGCCAAACACUCUCAUUCAAACCGGUGAGCAAUGGGACUAUCCAAAUGUGUGGCCACCCAUGCAGUACAUAUUGGUCGAGGGUCUGGAUAAUCUGGGCACACCCGAGGCAAAGAACCUAUCUGCCCGCUGGGGCCAACGUUGGGUCAAGUCGAACUUUGAGGCUUAUCGCGAGACACGCAGUAUGUUUGAGAAAUACGAUGCAGAGAAAUUCGGUGGUCAUGGUGGGGGCGGCGAGUAUGACGUGCAGAAGGGAUUUGGCUGGACCAAUGGCGUGAUUAUUGAAUGGUUGGCAAAAUAUGGACGAGAGCUUUCCAUAAGCGGCAAUACAGACGGAGCAGGUGAAAACGCGCAAUAGAAUCAAUUUAUCCUAUAUGUUAAAUGCGUAAUAACGAAUCCAAACGUCACAAUCAUCCGUCUAUCUACUCUGUCAUCAAACGCAAAGUGUCUACGUACCCAUCCAGCACCAUCUGCAUUGACUCGCAAAUUUAAAUACUAUACUUAUGUGUAUGACUCUUUGUUUCCAUCAAACGUUGAAUUUGAAGUGUCACCUUAAUUGAAGAUACAUUAGACCUAAGCGACAUUUAGUGUACCAGAAGCAUCAAACGCGCUAGUUAUUAAGCUCGAUUUAAGCCUCUAUAUUUCUUCAUCUGCCUUGAACGAUCGACAACGACGAAAACAACAAUAAGAACCAUCGCCAACCAAAAUAUGAACAAUCUGAAUCAGCAACACGCAAAUCAAGAAAACGGACUCCCAACUACAAACGAAUCAUCCAUUUGUACGGCGUCCAGGUCGUCCGGUCCACGCUUAUAAACACGCACCCCUACUGUCUCUGUCCACAUUUUUCUGAUCUAUCACAAGUGUUCGCAUUGUCCUCGGUUUCGCAUCUAUCCUGUCUAAAAGCUCGAAAUGAGUAUCAUUUCUGCAGCGUUCGUUCUACACCAAGUCUGCUACCACCAAGCAAAAGCCUCAUUAGUCUUCUGGGCGUAGCAACAGUGGCCCUUAUAGCUACUGUGGCCGGCCGGUAUAUAUGGUGAG